rnacentral:rRNA from 1 species
UACGUAGGGAGCAAGCGUUGUCCGGAAUCAUUGGGCGUAAAGCGCGCGUAGGCGGCCUCAUAAGUCCGCUGUGAAAGUCCAAGGCUCAACCUUGGAAAGCCGGUGGAUACUGUGAGGCUAGAGUACGGAAGAGGCGAGUGGAAUUCCUGGUGUAGCGGUGGAAUGCGCAGAUAUCAGGAGGAACACCAAGGACGAAGGUACCUACCUGGGCAGUAUCUGACACUCAAGUGCGACAGCGUGGGGAGCGAACCGG